rnacentral:snRNA from 1 species
AUACUUACCUGGCAGGGGAGAUACCGUGAUCAAGAAGGUGGUUCACCCAGGGCGAGGCUCAACAUUGCACUCCGGUUGUGCUGACCACUGCGAAUUCCCCAAAUGUGGGAAUCUCGACUGCAUCAUUUCUGGUAGUGGGGGACUGCGUUCGCGCUCUCCCCUG